ACCUACGGGACGCAGCAGUAGGGAAUCUUCCACAAUGGGCGAAAGCCUGAUGGAGCAACGCCGCGUGGGUGAAGAAGGUCUUCGGAUCGUAAAACCCUGUUGUUAGAGAAGAAAGUGCGUGAGAGUAACUGUUCACGUUUCGACGGUAUCUAACCAGAAAGCCACGGCUAACUACGUGCCAGCAGCCGCGGGAAUACGUAGGCGGCAAGCGUUAUCCGGACUUAUUGGGCGUAAAGGGAACGCAGGCGGUCUUUUAAGUCUGAUUGGAAAGCCUUCGGCUUAACCGGAGGAGGGCAUUGGAAACU
rnacentral:rRNA from 1 species